UGGGGAAUAUUGGGCAAUGGGGGAAACCCUGACCCAGCAACGCCGCGUGAAGGAAGAAGGUUUUCGGAUCGUAAACUUCUAUCCCCGGUGAAGAUAAUGACGGUAACCGGGAAGGAAGCCCCGGCUAACUACGUGCCAGCAGCCGCGGUAAUACGUAGGGGGCAAGCGUUGUCCGGAAUGAUUGGGCGUAAAGGGCGCGUAGGCGGCUCGGUAAGUCUGGAGUGAAAUUCCUGCUUUUAAGGUAGGAACUGCUUUGGAUACUGUCGGGCUUGAGUGCAGGAGAGGUAAGCGGAAUUCCCGGUGUAGCGGUGAAAUGCGUAGAGAUCGGGAGGAACACCAGUGGCGAAGGCGGCUUACUGGACUGUAACUGACGCUGAGGCGCGAAAGUGUGGGGAGCAAACA
rnacentral:rRNA from 1 species